rnacentral:lncRNA from 1 species
AACCACCUCUUAUAUAUUCCCUGGCAUCCUUAGGAACAGCCUCAGAUACUUUUCCUUAAGUUCUAAGGUAGGAGCUGUCCCCACCCAAGCUACAGAACCACCCAAUUCUUCAAUUGGAUAAAAGGCAAGCAGCCCCAGAAAAUCUCAUUGGAGCUUAAAGAAACCACCACAGCCCAAGAACUCAAGAAAAUUGAAGAGAGUGGUUGGACCAGGAGCAGAGAGAAUCAUACCAUGAGUGAAACUGACCCCAGUGUACAUACUCAAGCAAUAGAUAAACCUAACCUCAAGAAAAUUCGUGACAUCCAUCAGCAAGUCUUGGUCCUUCAAGACAAGACCCUCAUAGCAGUUCCUGAUGAUGGAGUGGUGCACCCAAGUGAGUAGGAAACCUGACCUUAUUUUCUCUUUCUUUGAUAGUCUCAUGCUUUGGAUGACCCUCUCUUUAUAGCGUCUCCCAGGACAGAUACCUGUAGUUCCAAUAAUUUGAGGAAUGACUUGGGCAGUUAUUAGGUAGAAAUGGUGGGAAAAGGGUAAAGUCCUAUACCAGUCACUGACAGAUGGUAAGGGAAGAGGCAGGCUGGCUUUUGUUAGAGUAAAACUGUGCUGUUCCAUGAAGUCAGAGACAAAAGUGCACUAGAACAAUGCUUAGGGAGGAUGGAUGAGGGAGGAGAAACUCAAGUUGAUUGAUCUUUUGCAAUCCAAGCUGGGAGGGUGCUAAUGCCAGGGAAUUAUGAGAAGAAUGGGACUGGGAGGAGGGGUAAUGGGAGGAGAGGAACAGAGUGGAGCACAGGGAUGGAGCAAAUGGAUUUGACCUAGGUUGCUGACAUCCAGGAAAGAGGUUGGGGCCCUCCUCCAUAUGGCAUUUCUUUACAGGCCAACUAGGGUGGCACAGUGGAUAGAGCAAUGAACUUGGCAUUAGGGAGAACUGUGUUAGAUUCUUUCCUUAGCCACUUAAUCGUGUCGUCUUCAUGGACAGUCAUCAGAUAUAAGUGAGGUUCUGUGAGCCUCAUUUUCCUCAUUUGUAAAAUGAGGGGGUCAAAUUUGAUGACCCAUAAAGUCUUUUUAGGUCCAAGUCUAUAACUUUAUGGUAGCAAGUUGAACUGGACCCUAAUGUUCCAGGGAGCAUGUUGAGUGGAUGGAUCUGGGAUAUGGAAUGCCACACUCCACAUCUCCUAGGAAUAUUGCCACUAUUGUCUUUGUGACAAGGUGGGGAUGGGUGUGAUUGGGUGAUUACUCCUUCACUCUCCAAUCUUCCUGAGGAGUAUGGGGCCACAAUUUAUAUUUAUCUAUUGAAAUCAGAUAUUUGCCCUCUAGAAGUACAAUGCUUUCUUGGUGUUUAGGAUAAAAGCUACUUUUGCUAGUCACUCUGGGAGUAAGUAGUCGU